rnacentral:lncRNA from 10 species
UGGUUUAUUGAACUAUUCCCUCUAUCAUUCUCUGAUUUCACUGCAGCCAAUGCUUCUGCUUUCCAUUAGUCCCUUCCUUCUUUAGAUUCCUGUAUAGCUUAAACUAGUGGUUUUCGUGCAAUAGGCUGAAUUUCCUUGCCUUUCAUCUCUUUUUGAACCCUUAAAUAAAGUGAUACUUGUCUGUACCUGCAUUUGGACAGCUAAAUGCCACCCCAGGAAACAACUG